UUGCUAUUCAGGGGAAUUCCUCCUAGCGUCGGAAACUCUAUUUAUUUAGGAUCGGUCUUCCUCGUUCGUUCCCUCAAGUCUUCGGUCACUCCUCGGCAACCUUGUUUUGUUAACAAAAGUAUUGCACUGCUAGAUUAUUCCAAUCAAACUAUAUCGACAAACCUAUAUGAACUCACGAAAACCGCCUUCAUCACCCCAAGUGGCACAUACUGCUUUGUACGAAUGCCCUUCGGGUUGAAGAAUGUCGGUUUCCCCUUUGCAAGAGUGAUCCAAA
rnacentral:lncRNA from 1 species